rnacentral:rRNA from 1 species
CAGUAGCCGCGGUAACACAGAGGAUGCAAGCGUUAUCCGGAAUUACUGGGCGUAAAGCGCACGUAGGCGGCGAUCUAAGUCAGGGGUGAAAGCCCGGGGCUCAACCCCGGAAUAGCCUUUGAGACUGGAUUGCUAGAAUCUGGGAGAGGUGAGUGGAAUUCCGAGUGUAGAGGUGAAAUUCGUAGAUAUUCGGAAGAACACCAGUGGCGAAGGCGGCUCACUGGACUAGUAUUGACGCUGAGGUGCGAAAGCGUGGGGAGCAAACAGGAUUAGAUACCCCAGUAGUCCUGUCUCUUAUACA